AUCAACAUCACACACCGUGAUGGCUCUUGCUAAAAUUCCUUUUUUAAAAAAUCCAAAUGCUCUUAAAAGUAGAAAAUACACGGGCGUGUGAGGGUGUUGUAGGCAACCUAGCUAGCAUGUCUCCUCGCACCGUGAGGGGCAAACUCCACGCAGGGAUGAACGUGAAUUGGUAGGGAGGGCAACUCACGAUUAGGCCUAACUUACUUGCGAAGCCCAUGCUGCAUUUAAUAAAGACACCUUUUUAUCCAAGCACAUGUGAUUGCCUAAAUGCUAUGCAAUCCAGCAAAUAAAUAUAUUGGGAGACACGACCUUGAUACAAUCUCAGGCACGAAUACAAGACAAAAUAUUAUUAGGUAUGGAGCAUGACACGAUUGUUAGGUAAGAUAUGGACUUGUUUCAUUUAUUCUCGUCCUAUUCUAGCUUGCUUGCCCGCCCGCCCGCCCAAUUCUUCCCCUUUCUCUCACCCUUUAUCUUUCCUUGUAAUUUGUGCUUCUGUUCCGACUGUGAAGACUCGUCACUAGUUGUCAUCCCCCAACUUUGCCCUAAAUUCAAGUGCUGCCAAAUCGAUAACAACGUCAUUAUAUGCUCUGAUUGUCAAGGAUUUCGCCCCAAAUGGGACCUUCCCUUGAUUAUGAUUUAUGACGCUGAAUGUCAAAGCCUGGUGAAAUUUCUUUCCAAUCUAAUAAGUUCUAACCAAAUCGUAGCUUCGGUGUUGAAUGAACCCUAGUCCUGAAUCUUAGUGUUUGUUGUUUUUGCUUUUACUUUCCUUUCCGUUUGACAAGUUAAGAUCAACACAACGCAUAUUGUAUUCAAAGUUGGAUGUGGCUCGCCUUCUAAGGUUUGAAAGUGGCGAGGACGGGACCGAGUUAGGCAGGUUAGCCGGCUAUUAUCCUGGCCUUAAAACAAGACUAAACACCAACUGUCCAAUGUCCACUGCUGACCAACUGUCCAAUGUCCGCAUAAACAAAGUCUUUAGCAAGAAAUAUAUCAGCAUUGCCUUCGAUCUUAACUUGUCAAGAAAAUGCUGAAGAGAGAUAUCUAUUUAUCAGUCUGCCUUUUGAUCUCGACUCUGACCAGCAGUUGCAAGGACUAAACAUGGUGUUUGGGACCAAGAAAUACUCCUUCCUUGUAAACGAAUGCAAGGGUUCAUUUUCAAGGCAAAUACCCAUGGGAAUCGACACUAAAGAAUGGGCAGUAGUGGUACAACACUAGAGAUGGAUAGCUAGCGAACCAACCCAGCAAGGGUUCCAUGCUAACUUUUUGGAAAGUCAUGCUCAAAGCCCUGCAUAAAUGAAUAACAAACACAACAAAGGGCAGGCCAACAAGGUGCAUAUUCAAACCAAAUUAUCCAAUAUUUGCUCCGUGAUAGCUGUCUUCAAUCAUAUCAAAAAACUUCCAACUUUUAACAGCACACUCCUGCUCCCACAUUGAGAAAAAGGUUGAGCACUUCGUACUAACAUCGUUGUCACUUGUCACAGGCAAACCCUAUCUAAAAAGGACCCGACUUUUCAUCUGUCCUUGUUGGUAGGCAAGGAGUGUGAGUCACCUCACAAAUUGGGCAAGAACAUGUUGUGCACUGCAUUUACAGUAGGAAGCUUUAUGAAUAGAAAAAGAUUGGUUUAAUCACUUCCGUGUAAAAGAGAAGGGGGCUAUGAGGCCUAUGAGCCUGCCUGUUCUGUAAGACCCAAAACCUCUUUCUUCCUUUUCUUCAGUUUAUUCCUAGAUUAUACAGUACUGGUAUAACGAACCUUGGACUUGAAGUACUUGCUCCACUAAAAGAUCCUAUUGACUUACCUGCGACACCAUAACUUCCACUGUGAAUUUGUCAUGGGAAUUGGUAUAUGGGAGCAGACGGCUAACAAGAAUAUCUUGUACAAUAUUCACCAUCCAUCUCACGAGUAGAAAUUUGGAGACAAGUUUAUCUCACUAACCGACUCAAUCCAACCUCUCCAUCCCAAAAUUUGUGGCGGACUAAACUGCUAGGGUUCGACAACGAAAUUAAAUUCGGGAAGGGGAAGGAAAACAUAGUCGUUAAUGCUCUCUCUAGAAUACCCAGGAAUGAGCUCAAUGCACUAGGUUUAUUCAUAGUUUUCACUUGCUUUCAGACAUCAAGUCAUGGGAAAGGUAUGCCAAGGCGGAGUCUAUUAUCCAGGACUGCUUGCUACACAUCCUCAUUAUAAGUGAGUUAGGUUCAUUUUAUCAGAAGGCGCAAACUGGUGGUGGAUAAUAAUCUUGUGCUGUAAAACAUGUUAAUAGCCAUCUAUCAUGAUAUUGCUUUAAGGGGUCACUCAGGUUCUACAGUCACGGCUAAAAAAGAUUGGUAAUGUAUUUUAUUGGAAGAAACAACAAAAACAGGUGAGGCAAUUAGCAAACAGAAAGAGAAGUGAAAGUUUUUGAAGUAGAAGACUUGGUCUAUAGCCCUCCAAGCAAAAGUCAGUACCACAGCACAACCAACACAAGUUAGCAGCUGAGUAUGAUGGUCCAUAUACAAUUAUCGAGAAGAUUAGAGAAGUUUCUUACUAGUUAAAUCUUCCUUCCUCAUCGACAAUCCACCCUGUCUUCCAUGUCUCCCAAUUGAAGAGGAACCUGGGAAACAAAAUGUUGCACACUAAAUUGCCCGAUUGGCCCCUUAGGCAAUCUUGGAUCGAAGACCAGUCAGAGGGGGUCAACAGGCUGCAACUCAAAUCUUAGUCCAUUGGCAAGGGUUGUAUCUCCCUCUGAGGCAACAUGGGAAUUCAUGGAUGAAGUGAAACUCAGAUUUCUAUCAUUCAACCUCGAGGCAAAGGUGUUUCUGAAAGGGAGAGAAUUGUUGCAGGUGAAUUUGGCUAAUGAGGAUUGCCAACGAGAAGAAAACAAGCCGAAGGGAAUAUUUGAAAAGAAAUGACCGUUGCUAAGUGAAUAGUUAAUCGCAACGCACCGUAUCAGCCCAAUCCUUCCUUCUAUUUAUGCGCACUGUUUCAAUAACAAGUGUAAAUUACCUGUACUGAGAAGAAUGCUAAAUUAACAUUCAAUUAUUCUGAUUAAUUGCUUUAUAUAUGCUAUCAGUUGUAACAAAAUGAAUAUCGACAAAAACAAAAAAAAUAAGAACAAGAAUUAAUCCAGUUAUGGGUUCUUCUCCUCCUUCCUCUCCCUACCUCUCUCCAACUUCUCUGGCAUCUUCUUCCUUUCUCUCUUAACUUAGCUAACCAAACACGAGCACAAUCACUCCACUAGAUAUUCAACCCAGAUAGGAUAUUUCUUAAUUGUGUUUUCUCCAAGAGAGAGAAAUUUUACAUGUGCUUCAACAGAUUCUAGUAAGUAAUUGUGUUGUCGAAAUCUGCUCUUCCUUUUUUCUAUUUCGAUUGGAGUUGAGGGCAAAAGUUCCUUGAUUUCUUUACAUCUGUGGUUUUCUGCAGCCGCUAGCUAGUGUCCAUCAUCAAUCAUUGUGUUAACCUAUUAGCACCAAUUAUUCAGUCCUUUCUCAUGUUCACCGGCAAAAAUCAGCGCAUUCAUACAGUACCCCCCAUGUGGCAUGAUCAAUCCAACUACAUGCCAAAAGUUCAGUCCCCUGUUAAAAUAUAGGAGAGGUCUCUCCCUUAUCACCAGAGGAACAUCAUGACAAAUUCACGAGUUAAGGAAAAUUAGUGACCUAGUCAUGUUCAUUAAUUAAACAAUGACACUUAACUGACACCUUGGAAACUAGAGUUUAAGAAACGUAUUCAAAAUCCAAGAUUUUUUCAGCGACAAUGCCGUAACUACGAUAAAAGUCGCAACAACCUGAUCCAUGUGAUGUGAAUAUGCCGAUUAUUGAAUUAUUGCUCGAAUCAUUGCAAGGAUGAUCUUUCUAACAUUCCAAAUUGCUCUCAUCUCAUACUGUAAUGACAGAUUUGAUUGAACAAUUCAAUCAAAUCUGUCAUUCCUUAGCAAAGAUCAGCCCAGAUCACCUUUGUGCUUGCAGUUCAAAAGAUAGAGCUCGCAUGCAAUCUUAAUCAGAAUAGCAACUUUCACAUCCUGAAGUUUCUUAUAUCCUGCUGUUAAAACCCUUAAAUGGUGGCCAACACUCGCAUAGAAUCACAGCCGCCCAACAUUCCCAGCCUUGGAAAGGUCGUCUCCACAACAUCACAUGAACUCUGAGUCUCAUAUCAACCAGCUCAUUUCGGGUGUCAUAGUCAUCCAAACAAAGCGCUCUCCCUGUCAGCAGAGUCAUUUAUUUACCAACAAAACCUCCAAAGCAAUAGCUUCUUGGCAGCACCUGCAUUCGGCUUACUACUUGUAGAACGCUUUCCAUAACCUAGAAAUCCGUAAGUAAAACCCCAGAAGAAAGCAAGAACAAGAGCUCAGCUAGGGAUCCAUCAUUGUUUCUUCUCCUAUAAUCUGCCGUCUGAAACCAUGAUAGAUUCAGGGACCUGCAACCACACGACAAGCACGUUCUGUAGAGCUACAUCGUAUUCACCUCCAACCAGUUCACUUGAACUAUAUGUUUGCAUAAAAGUCGCCAUUCAAAUUGAGGAAACAAUAAACAAUAUCUGACCAAGAAGUUCACUGAGAAAAAGAACCACGAAGAAAAAAACUACAAAAUCAGUCAUGUCGACUACAAUAACACGGAAAACUUCACUGCAAUACCCAUGUCUGUAUUUAGGAAACUCAAGGAGGAUUCUCUCUAAUCAACCAAUUUGAAUUGUGUUACAGCUCAUAAAAUUGCCACUAACCAUAAGAAAUUAGUUAGUUCAAAGCAAGCACAACCUAACCAAAAAACUUGCUCUGGCACACUGCACUAACCCUAAGUCUCAUCAUAUCCUAUCCAAGCAAUACAGCGAAGAAUUAAGAUACGAAAAAACCAAAUAACACGGCCUUGCUUUCUAUUUCUAAGAACACAAUCAACCAACCAAACAAACUAAAAGUCAAAAUUCCCCUGGUAAAUUUCCUCCAAAACAAACAUCAUCACUAAUCACCUAUCCCAUCACAAUACGGCAACCCCCCCCCCCCCCAACUCCCUAACCAUGCUAGUAGUAAAAUAACUC